GAUGAACGCUGGCGGCGUGCUUAACACAUGCAAGUCGAACGGAAAGGCCCAAGCUUGCUUGGGUACUCGAGUGGCGAACGGGUGAGUAACACGUGGGUGAUCUGCCCUGCACUUCGGGAUAAGCCUGGGAAACUGGGUCUAAUACCGGAUAGGACGAUGGUUUGGAUGCCAUUGUGGAAAGUUUUUUCGGUGUGGGAUGAGCUCGCGGCCUAUCAGCUUGUUGGUGGGGUAAUGGCCUACCAAGGCGUCGACGGGUAGCCGGCCUGAGAGGGUGUACGGCCACAUUGGGACUGAGAUACGGCCCAGACUCCUACGGGAGGCAGCAGUGGGGAAUAUUGCACAAUGGGCACAAGCCUGAUGCAGCGACGCCGCGUGGGGGAUGACGGCCUUCGGGUUGUAAACUCCUUUCGCUAGGGACGAAGCGUUUUUGUGACGGUACCUGGAGAAGAAGCACCGGCUAACUACGUG
rnacentral:rRNA from 1 species